CACCAGUAACACAGUAUCACCAGUACAACAGUAUCACCAGUAUCACCAGUAUCACCCAGUACAACCAGUAUCACCAGUACAACCAGUAACACCAGUACAACCAGUAACACCGGUAUCAGCACCGGUGACACCAGUGACACCAGUAACUCCGGUAUCACCGGUGCCAACACCAGCAGCACCAGGGACGCCAGCGUGACCAGUAACACCAGUAUCACCAGUAAAGCCUCCAGCAACACCGCAACAGGCGCCGCCGUGGGGCAGGGGGGGCGCCGGACGGGCUCCACGGUGCUGGCGGUUCUGCUGCCCCUGGGGCUGCUGGCGCUGGCGGGCGCGGGCGCCCGGGGGCUCCGGCGGAGCUGGCGCCGCCGCGGCACCAACAGCAUCAGCUUCCACAACCCCGUGUUCCGGAAACAGCACGAGGACGAGGAGCCGCUGGGGGGCGCGCAGGGGGGCUUCCCCUGCCCCACGCGCCAGCCCCUGAACCCGGACAACAACGCGGCCUGAGGGGCAGAGUGGGGGCAGCGCCCCAUAGCCAGCCCCCCCAAACAACGGGAGCAACCGGGGCACCCCGAACCAGCGGGUGACACCGGCACCACCGGCUGACACCGGAACC